GACGAACGCUGGCGGCGUGCUUAACACAUGCAAGUCGAACGGAAAGGCCUGCUUUCCCUUGUGGAUUGCGGGUACUCGAGUGGCGAACGGGUGAGUAACACGUGAGUGAUCUGCCCCCAACUUGGGUAUAAGCCUGGGAAACUGGGUCUAAUUCCCGAUAGGACUGCAGGGUGGUGCCUGUGGUGGAAAACGAUUUUCUAGUGGUUGGGGGUGAGCUCGCGGCCUAUCAGCUUGUUGGUGGGGUAAUGGCCUACCAAGGCGGCGACGGGUAGCCGGCCUGAGAGGGUGGACGGCCACAUUGGGACUGGGAUACGGCCCAGACUCCUACGGGAGGCAGCAGUGGGGAAUAUUGCACAAUGGGCGGAAGCCUGAUGCAGCGACGCCGCGGGGGGGAUGACGGCCUUCGGGUUGUAAACUCCUUUCGACCGCGAGGAAGCCACCUGGUUGGAAGGGUGGUGACGGUAGUGGUAGAAGAAGCACCGGCUAACUACGUG
rnacentral:rRNA from 1 species